GGUCUUAUAUUCAAUUAUGAUAUUAAAGUGCAAAUUUAAUGGUGUAUUAUUACUAAGGCUU
rnacentral:tRNA from 1 species